rnacentral:rRNA from 1 species
AACGAACGCUGGCGGCGCGCCUAACACAUGCAAGUCGAACGAGAAGGCGUAGCAAUACGCUUGUAGAGUGGCGAACGGGUGAGUAAUACGUGGGUGACCUACCCUCGAGUGGGGAAUAACCCGCCGAAAGGCGGGCUAAUGCCGCGUACGCUUCCGUCCUCACGGGGACGGAAGGAAAGCUGUACCGUGGGUACGGCGCUCAAGGAUGGGCUCACGUCCUAUCAGCUUGUUGGUAGGGUAACGCCUACCAAGGCUACGACGGGUAGCUGGUCUGAGAGGACGAUCAGCCACACUGGCACUGCGACACGGGCCAGACUCCUACGGGAGGCAGCAGUGAGGAAUAUUGCGCAAUGGGCGAAAGCCUGACGCAGCGACGCCGCGU